AGGAUCAUUAUUGAAUAAACUUGAUAAGUUGUUGCUGGUUCUCUUGGGAGCAUGUGCACACUUGUCAUUUUGUAUCUUCACCUGUGCAUCUUGUGUAGAUCUGAUUAUCUCUCUGAAUUGCUUUAUUCAGGAUUAAGGAUUGACUUUUUGUCUCUCCUUACAUUUUCAGGUCUAUGUUUUAUUCAUAUACCCUAAUGUAUGUUUAUGGAAUGUAAUAMAAAUGGGCCUUUUGUGUCUAUAAAUUCUAUUACAACUUUCAGCAACGGAUCUCUUGGCUCUCGCAUCGAUGAAGAACGCAGCGAAAUGCGAUAAGUAAUGUGAAUUGCAGAAUUCAGUGAAUCAUCGAAUCUUUGAACGCACCUUGCGCUCCUUGGUAUUCUGAGGAGCAUGCCUGUUUGAGUGUCAUUAAUAUUAUCAACCUCUUUGGGUUGGAUGUGGGUUUGCUGGCCUUCUUGAGGUCAGCUCCCCUUAAAUGUAUUAGCUGACAAUGUUUUUCCAACUGUUCAUUAGUGUGAUAAUUAUCUACUCUAUUGAAUAUCAGGGAAUGUUCAGCUUCUAACAGUCCAUUGACUUGGACAAUUUCAUUAUUUAUUAAUGUGACCUCAAAUCAGGUAGGACUACCCGCUGAACUUAAGCAUAUCAAUAAGCGGAGGAAAAGAAACUAACAAGGAUUCCCCUAGUAACUGCGAGUGAACUGGGAAAAGCUCAAAUUUAAA
rnacentral:rRNA from 1 species